GGGUGGCGGAGGCCCGGCGGCCUGGCAGGUUCAUUUACGCUUGUUAGGACGUCCCGGGGGGUUGUCUUUCUCCCAGAACGGAGUGUUUAUUUUUUAAUUGAUGUGCUGUUUCAUUUAGCGCUUGUAUGGAACUCAUGCUGGGGCUGUAAUUACUGUAAUCUCGGGAACAAGCGUUUCCGUGAGCCAGGAGGGUGGCACCAGCCUCCCCCUCUCCCUCCUCUGUCCCCCCCCCCCCCCCGCUCUAGCCCCUCCGCCCUCCUUUCUCUCACUCUCUUUUUCUCUUUCGGUUCCCUGAUUUUUGCUCUUUGUCACGAUUCACGCCAGGAACAAGUAGAAGCAGAGAACACAAGCUGCCAGGGCGUGGGGACAGAGAGUGAACUCUGUUAAAGAUCUUCCUCCUCUACUUUCUGGCCCAUCAAGAGAAGGAUCCUGUAGGAGGGACAUACAUGGCUCUGUCUGCUGAAACAAGGCCAGCAUGCAAAUGUGAAGGUGCUGAACACACAGAUGGGGUGGACUGGCUGGACAUACCGGACUCCCCUGACCUGGCUCAGUGAUCUCCACUUCAGGACUCCACUGCAUCUAUGCUUAGGAACUGUGAUAAACACUGCCCUUGGAUGUUUUCACUGGCUACUCCCACAUUUCCAUUGCAAUACCAGACUCUGGGCUCUAAAUCAGUUCCUUCUUUCAUCUCCCCUCUCAUCUCUUUACUCACCUGGUAACAGCAUCCUGCUUGUAAGGGAUCUUGGUUGGGCAGCUCCAGAAGGAGCCCUGUCUCCCCUUAAACUUUUUCAAAAGCACUCCGCCCAACACAACCAGCACAUUCUAAUUCAGGGAUCCAAAAAAACCACUGGGCCCUGUCUUAGGCCCAUGCCCUGACCCUGUCCCCCACCUCCUACCUCUGUUCCCAAACCACUUAGCAUGUCAGACCAUCUCCGUCUCUUUCCUGCUGAUUUCAAUCCAGUUACCUUAUUCUGUUCUGAUUCAUUUGUUCAUGGCUUCUUUCACCCCUGAGAUAUUUGUUAAUCUCCCACAAGGUACACAAUACGCUGCUAAGUUCCCUGAGAGUGGAGGGGGGAAAGUUAGCUCAUCUUUCCACAAGGAAUUUGUAGUCUAG
rnacentral:lncRNA from 1 species